GACGAACGCUGGCGGCGUGCUUAACACAUGCAAGUCGAACGGGAAGGCCCGGCUUGCAGGGUACUCGAGUGGCGAACGGGUGGGUAACACGUGGGGGAUCUGCCCUGCACUUCGGGAGAGGCCCUGGAAACUGGGUCUAAUACCGGACAGAAGCCAUUUCUCGUGUGGUUGUGGGAGAGUUGUUUCGGUGUAGUAUGAGCAUGCGGCCUAUCCGAUUGUUGGUGGGGUAAUGGCCUACAGAGGCGGCGACGAGUAGCCGGAGUGGGAGGGUGGACAGGCACAUUGGGACUGGGACUCAGACCCGACUCCUACUGGAAGGAGCAGCGGCGGAUAGGAAUAAAUGGGAGUGAGCGUGAUGCAGCUACGGCGAGUCGGGGAUGAUGGCCAUCGGGUUGGGAAUUUCUUUCGCUAGUGACGGAGCUGUUUAUGACAGUACCUAGAUAAGAAGCUCCGGCUAACUCCGUG
rnacentral:rRNA from 1 species